rnacentral:lncRNA from 1 species
UAAGAGUAGUUAGGUAGGUAUGGUAUAUAAUUUACUCUAGUCAUGUAAUAUUCACCAAAUGUUUUUUCUAAUAUGACUUUUCUUAUAUCUGCUACUUUUAUAUCUUUAAGUGCAUACAAAAUAAGUAUUUUAAAUUUAUCUACCAUCACAUCAAAUAAAUAAUUAUUCAUUUUCAUAAAAUUGCUUUUUUCAAAAUAUUCCCUUCAACCAUGUACAUN